rnacentral:rRNA from 1 species
GAUCAUGGCUCAGGAUGAACGCUAGCGACAGGCUUAACACAUGCAAGUCGAGGGGCAUCAUGAGGUAGCAAUAACCUUGAUGGCGACCGGCGCGACGGGUGAGUAACGCGUAUGCAACCUGCCUGAUACCGGGGGUAUAGCCCAUGGAAAACGUGGAUUAACACCCCCAUAGUACUUUUAUCCUGCAUGGGAUGUGAGUUAAAUGUUUAAGGUAUCGGAUGGGCAUGCGUCCUAUUUAGG